rnacentral:ncRNA from 1 species
CCAUAAACACCAGUAGUAGGUCCUGGCCUUUCUAUUAAUUCUUAAUAAAAUUACACAUGCAAGUAUCCGCGCCCCGGUGAGAAUGCCCUCCAGAUCCUAAAGAUCAAAAGGAGCAGGUAUCAAGCACACCUAUAACGGUAGCUCAUAACGCCUUGCUCAACCACACCCCCACGGGAAACAGCAGUGAUAAAAAUUAAGCCAUGAACGAAAGUUUGACUAAGUUAUAUUAAUUAGAGUUGGUAAAUCUCGUGCCAGCCACCGCGGUCAUACGAUUAACCCAAAUUAAUAGAUCCACGGCGUAAAGAGUGUUUAAGAAAAAAAAACCACAAUAGAGUUAAAUUAUAACUAAGCUGUAAAAAGCCCUAGUUAAAAUAAAAUAACCCACGAAAGUGACUCUAAUAAUCCUGACACACGAUAGCUAGGACCCAAACUGGGAUUAGAUACCCCACUAUGCCUAGCCCUAAACCCAAAUAGUUACAUAACAAAACUAUUCGCCAGAGUACUACUCGCAACUGCCUAAAACUCAAAGGACUUGGCGGUGCUUCACAUCCACCUAGAGGAGCCUGUUCUAUAAUCGAUAAACCCCGAUAGACCUUACCAACCCUUGCCAAUUCAGCCUAUAUACCGCCAUCUUCAGCAAACCCUAAAAAGGAACAAUAGUAAGCACAAUCAUAGCACAUAAAAACGUUUAGGUCAAGGUGUAGCUUAUGGGUUGGAAAGAAAUGGGCUACAUUUCUACAUAAGAAUAUCCACCACACGAAAGUUUUUAUGAAACUAAAAACCAAAGGAGGAUUUAGCAGUAAAUCAAGAAUAGAGUGCUUGAUUGAAUAAGGCCAUGAAGCACGCACACACCGCCCGUCACCCUCCUCAAGCAUGUAGUAAUAAAAAUAACCUAUAUUCAAUUACACAACCAUGCAAGAAGAGACAAGUCGUAACAAGGUAAGCAUACUGGAAAGUGUGCUUGGAUUACCAAAGCAUGCUUA